UCCGAGUUGACCCCGGCAGUCUCCUGCGAGUCCCCGCCAUUACGCGCUGGCAACACAGGACAAGGGUUGCGCUCGUUGCGGGACUUAACCCAACAUCUCACGACACGAGCUGACGACAGCCAUGCACCACCUGUGCACCUGCCCCGAAGGGCUGCCGUAUUUCUACGACAUUCAGGUGCAUGUCAAGCCCUGGUAAGGUUCUUCGCGUUGCAUCGAAUUAAACCACACGCUCCGCUGCUUGUGCGGGCCCCCGUCAAUUCCUUUGAGUUUCAGUCUUGCGACCGUACUCCCCAGGCGGAGUGCUUAAUGCGUUAGUUGCAGCACUAAGGGGCGGAAACCCCCUAACACUUAGCACUCAUCGUUUACGGCGUGGACUAC
rnacentral:misc_RNA from 1 species